rnacentral:misc_RNA from 1 species
CAUGGUAAGUGUACCGGAAGGUGCACUUGGAUCUCAAAACAUAGCUUAAACAAAGCCCCUUGCUUACACCAAGAAAAUAUCUGUUAAACCCAGAUUGUUUUGAGCCUAAAAUUAAGCCUAACCAAAGCCCCAUGAAACCUACAACUAACCCUUACCAAAUAAAACAUUUUAUCAGUCUAGUAGAGGCGAUCAAAAAACUCAUCAGCGCUUUAUUACAAGUACCGCAAGGGAAAAAUGAAAUAGUUCUGAAACAGCCCCAAAGCAAAACACAGCAGAGAUAAACACUCGUACCUUUUGCAUCAUGGUUUAGCUAGUCCUCUACAAGCAAAACGAAACAUCAGUUUGUCCCCCCGAAACUAGGCGAGCUACUUCGAAACAGCUUACAGAGCUAACCCGUCUCUGUCGCAAAAGAGUGGGAUGAUUUCCAAGUAGCGGUGAAAAGCCUACCGAGCCUAGAGAUAGCUGGUUAUUCAGAAAAAGAAUUUUAGUUCAGCCCCAAGUCUCUUUAUUACCAUAACAAAUUUUCUAGACUUAAGAGCUAGUCAAAUAAGGCACAGCUUAUUUGACAAAGGAUACAACCUACAAAAAAGGGUAAAACCACCAUAUAUUAACUAAGUGGGCCUGAAAGCAGCCACCUUCAAGACAGCGUUACAGCUCCGUUAUCCUUUACAACAAAUACCUAAAAACACUCCGAACCCUUUAUCAUUACUGAAUGAUCCUAUAUCUUUAUAGGAGCCCCAAUGCUAAAACUAGUAACAAGAAAUAGAACUUCUCCAAAUACAAGUAUAAGCCAAAAUGGACCAACCAUUGGCAAUUAACGUUACUGAACCCAAUAUAGCAACCCACCAAGAAAAUACUAUAACUCUUACCGUUAAUCUAACACAAGGGUAUUUCUGGAAAGAUUUAAAGAAAGGGAAGGAACUCGGCAAACUUUAACCCCGCCUGUUUACCAAAAACAUCGCCUCUUGAUCAACUAUAAGAGGUCUAGCCUGCCCAGUGACAUAGUUUAACGGCCGCGGUACCCUGACCGUGCGAAGGUAGCAUAAUCACUUGUUCUUUAAAUAAGGACUAGUAUCAACGGCAUCACGAGGGUUACACUGUCUCCCCUCUCUAAUCAGUGAAACUGACUUCCCCGUGAAGAGGCGGGGAUACAACUACAAGACGAGAAGACCCCAUGGAGCUUUAAACCCAAUAACAGCUUCUAUCAACCACACCUUAAAAAUUAAGAAACAUUGUUUAUUGGUUUUAGGUUGGGGUGACCAUGGAGUAAAAUUAAACCUCCAAGAUGAAAGGUCUCAUCCUAAUCUAAGAGCCACUGCUCUAAGAAUCAAAAAUUUGACAUAAAAUGAUCCGGCAACCGAUCAACGAACCAAGUUACCCUGGGGAUAACAGCGCAAUCCAUUUCAAGAGCCCCUAUCGACAAAUGGGUUUACGACCUCGAUGUUGGAUCAGGGUA